AUGAACGCUGGCGGUAUGCUUAACACAUGCAAGUCGAACGGUCACUUCGGUGAUAGUGGCGGACGGGUGAGUCACGCGUGAGAAUCUGUCUUCAGGUCGGGGACAACAGUUAGAAAUGACUGCUAAUACCGGAUGUGCCUUUGGGUGAAAGAUUUAUUGCCUGAAAAAGAGCUCGCGUCAGAUUAGCUAGUAGGUGGUGUAAGAGACUACCUAGGCUCCGAUCUGUAGCUGGUCUGAGAGGACGAUCAGCCACACUGGAACUGAGACACGGUCCAGACUCCUACGGGAGGCAGCAGUGGGGAAUUUUCCGCAAUGGGCGAAAGCCUGACGGAACAAUACCGCGUGAGGGACGAAGGCUUUUGGGUCGUAAACCUCUUUUCUCAAGGAAGAUGAUGACGGUACUUGAGGAAUAAGCAUCGGCUAACUCUGUG
rnacentral:rRNA from 1 species